rnacentral:tRNA from 2 species
AUUCAAAUGUCGGAAAUGGUAGACGAGGUAAUUUUAGGUGUUGCUGGGUGAAAUAUACCGUAAAGGUUCAAGUCCUUUUUUGAAUA